UAAUGAUACAUCUUACAACAGGGUGAAUUGGAAUGGAGGGAAAAAAAGUAGUUGAAGAUCAUCCCUGUGGCUCCCAAGAUGAAAGUUACUGGGGUGGCCUGAACUUCCCAGUGUGGCUCGAAAGAUUAACCACUUCAGAGAAUACCAGAUCAACACCGUGUUUUGCAUGCCUGCACCUUCGGAGAGGAAGCUGUUAUUUCAGAAGCCAGGCAGAACAAAGGGAGUCGUCUGGUGCGAUCCUAGUAAUUAGAGAGAAGAGGCCCCUCAGGUAACUGCUGAGAAAGGUCCCUUAAUUUGACUGUGUUUCACACAGUCCAAUUUUCAAUAAAAAGAGACACUUCA
rnacentral:lncRNA from 1 species